UGCCGUGGACGACCACGGCACGCAUGCUCACGUGGCGGGACGGCCCGC
rnacentral:ncRNA from 1 species